rnacentral:other from 1 species
AAGUUCCUGUGGUGUUCGCGUAGUAGAUAAAUAUUUUUGAACCGAUGAUGACUUUACCAAGAUAGCUUCCAUGUGGUGGGUGUGUGCUGUUUUAAAAUAGCCCCAAAUCUACAAGCAGUCUUACUCUUUAUUAAAUUGGGUUCGUCAAAAUAUUAACAUACGGCAUUUUCGGGGGCUUU